UACGUAGGUGGCAAGCGUUGUCCGGAUUUAUUGGGUUUAAAGGGUGCGUAGGCGGCUUAUUAAGUCAGUGGUGAAAUACUCUAGCUCAACUAGAGGGGUGCCAUUGAUACUGAUGAGCUUGAGUACAGAUGAGGUAGGCGGAAUUGACGGUGUAGCGGUGAAAUGCUUAGAUAUCGUCAAGAACACCUAUAGCGAAGGCAGCUUACUAGGCUGUAACUGACGCUGAGGCACGAAAGUGUGGGGAGCGAACAGG
rnacentral:rRNA from 1 species